rnacentral:ncRNA from 1 species
AGGAUAGAGGUGCGGUUUGUUAAAAGUAAGCCAUGCGUGUUAAGUUCGGCAGAACAACAGCACGGCUGAAAGGAGCAGCCGCCGAAGACGGCGUGCCGGCGGGCAUACUGUCUGGUAAUGCGGAAUAAUAUCCGUAUUACUGUCGCUUUUGCGGAGAGCUAUCGA